rnacentral:sRNA from 1 species
AUGGCUGUCGUCAGCUCGUGUCGUGAGAUGUUGGGUUAAGUCCCGCAACGAGCGCAACCCUUAUCCUGUGUUGCUACCAGGUAAUGCUGGGCACUCUCAGGAGACUGCCGGGGUCAACUCGGAGGAAGGUGGGGACGACGUCAAGUCAUCAUGCCCCUUAUAUCCAGGGCUGCAAACAUGCUACAAUGGCCAGUACAACGGGCUGCUACCUCGCGAGAGGACGCGAAUCCCUUAAAGCUGGUCUCAGUUCGGAUCGCAGUCUGCAACUCGACUGCGUGAAGUCGGAGUCGCUAGUAAUCCCGGAUCAGCAACGCCGGGGUGAAUACGUUCCCGGGCCUUGUACACACCGCCCGUCACACCACGAAAGUCGGUAACACCCGAAGCCAGUGGCCCAACUCGUAAGAGAGGGAGCUGUCGAAGGUGGGAUCGGCGAUUGGGGUGAAGUCGUAACAAGGUAGCCGUACCGGAAGGUGCGGCUGGAUCACCUCCUUUCUAAGGAGUCUUAUGCUCUUCUUCACUGAGGAGCGACUCCCAGUUGGUGCACUGUCUUGUCCGGUUCUUUCAGCUUGUGUCGAUGAUUCGCUCUCGACCUCGAUGCACGAGCCAGACCGUCCGCUGUUCCGUUCUCCAGGUGCGCUGCUCGCCAACCGAUGGCUCGAGCAGCCCGUCGAAGCGCCGGCCCUCCGUGGUCGGCGUUCGUCGCGCCCGCCCUUUGAGAAUUGCAUAGCGAGCACGAGCAUCUUUGUUUCUUCCAAGCUACAAAGUGCCAACGGUGGAUGCCUUGACGUCUACUACCGAUGAAGGACGUGGGUGGCUGCGAAAAGCCACGGGGAGCUGCCGACCAAGCUUUGAUCCGUGGAUAUCCGAAUGGGGAAACCCGG